CCUACGGGAGGCAGCAGUGGGGAAUAUUGCACAAUGGGCGCAAGCCUGAUGCAGCCAUGCCGCGUGUAUGAAGAAGGCCUUCGGGUUGUAAAGUACUUUCAGCGGGGAGGAAGGGAGUAAAGUUAAUACCUUUGCUCAUUGACGUUACCCGCAGAAUAAGCAUCGGCUAACUCCGUGCCAGCAGCCGCGGUAAU
rnacentral:rRNA from 1 species